GCUUCGGUGGUGUAGUGGUAGUAGCACGCGUUCUCAUUAUGGAUGAAACGCGGAAUCGAUUUCCGCCUCAGGCU